GUUGGAUUUGACUUGUGUUAAUUGAAUUCAUCACUGAGCUGGUUUGCUGUAGCGUACUGAUUUUUUUUGCACAAUUUGAUUUAGCGGAAAUGAAAAAUAAUACAUAUUUUGUCAAUGCAGUUUUUAACUUUUUUUUUAACUGGAAAGAGUAUUUUUCCUCCUCUUAUAGCCAAGUAAACCCAGAAACCACCAAUUAUUGGUUUAUGGCUAUGUCCGUCGUCAAUUUGUCCGUGCCCAUAAGUUGUCCGAUGGACUGGACUACAUCGUAUAUUGACGAACGCGAUUACGGUAACCAGUCAAAAGCAGAGACCACGGACUAAAGAUCCCUAUACAUGACCUGAUAUGAUAUCUGAUCUGACCAAAUUAUGCUGUUGGUCCGACCAGAUCAUGUAGUGUGUGGGGGCCUUAAGAUAUAAUGGACAUGAUAUAAUGGAGCAGUUUAUCAAUAGCACCAAUUUAGAAUACAAGAGAAUAGAGGGGGUGGUGGUUCGAAAUGUAGGCUGACAGUUUACAAUAUCGUCUGUUGACUAAAUAUUUGCAACUUUUAAAUAAUAAAGUGAUAGCAAGUACCAACUACCGAUAUAAUAAUGAUUAAUGAUAUUUA